rnacentral:rRNA from 1 species
GACGAACGCUGGCGGCGUGCCUAAUACAUGCAAGUCGAGCGAGCUUGCCUAGAUGAAUUUGGUGCUUGCACCAAAUGAAACUAGAUACAAGCGAGCGGCGGACGGGUGAGUAACACGUGGGUAACCUGCCCAAGAGACUGGGAUAACACCUGGAAACAGAUGCUAAUACCGGAUAACAACACUAGACGCAUGUCUAGAGUUUAAAAGAUGGUUCUGCUGUCACUCUUGGAUGGACCUGCGGUGCAUUAGCUAGUUGGUAAGGCAACGGCUUACCAAGGCAAUGAUGCAUAGCCGAGUUGAGAGACUGAUCGGCCACAUUGGGACUGAGACACGGCCCAAACUCCUACGGGAGGCAGCAGUAGGGAAUCUUCCACAAUGGACGCAAGUCUGAUGGAGCAACGCCGCGUGAGUGAAGAAGGGGUUCGGCUCGUAAAGCUCUGUUGGUAGUGAAGAAAGAUAGAGGUAGUAACUGGACUUUAUUUGACGGUAAUUACUUAGAAAGUCACGGCUAACUACGUG